GGGAUAAUUAUUGGGCUUAAAGUGUCCGUAGCCGGUUUAGUAAGUUCCUGGUAAAACCGGGCAGCUUAACUGUCCGUAUGCUAGGAAUACUGCUAUGCUAGAGGGCGGGAGAGGUCUGAGGUACUACAGGGGUAGGGGUGAAAUCUUAUAAUCCUUGUAGGACCACCAGUGGCGAAAGCGUCAGACUGGAACGCGCCUGACGGUGAGGGACGAAAGCCAGGGGAGCGAACCGGAUUAGAUACCCGGGUAGUCCUGGCCGUAAACGAUGCAUACUAGGCAAUGGUGCGGCCAUGAGCCGCAUCAGUACCGUAGGGAAACCGUUAAGUGUGCCGCCUGGGAAGUACGGUCGCAAGGCUAAAACUUAAAGGAAUUGGCGGGGGAGCACCACAAGGGGUGAAGCCUGCGGUUCAAUUGGACUCAACGCCGGGAAACUUACCAGGGGAGACAGCAGAAUGACAGUCAGGUUGACGACCUUACUCGACGAGCUGAGAGGAGGUGCAUGGCCGUCGCCAGUUCGUGCUGUGAGGUAUCCUGUUAAGUCAGGCAACGAACGAGAUCCGCGCCUUUAUUUGCCAUCAAGAAGUCACGACUUCGUUGGGAACACUAAAGGGACCGCCGUCGAUAAGACGGAGG
rnacentral:rRNA from 1 species